ensembl:lncRNA
GGUACCAGUACAGAGUCAAUGUGGAGGCUAUAUACAGGGGUACCGGUACAGAGUCAAUGUGGAGGCUAUAUACAGGGGUACCGGUACUGAGUCAAUGUGGAGGCUAUAUACAGGGGGUACCGGUACAGAGUCAAUGUGGAGGCUAUAUACAGGGGGUACCGGUACUGAGUCAAUGUGGAGGCUAUAUACAGGGGGUACCGGUACAGAGUCAAUGUGGAGGCUAUAUACAGGGGGUACCGGUACAGAGUCAAUGUGGAGGCUAUAUACAGGGGGUACCGGUACUGAGUCAAUGUGGAGGCUAUAUACAGGGGGUACCGGUACUGAGUCAAUGUGGAGGCUAUAUACAGGGG